rnacentral:lncRNA from 1 species
CUUGAUUUUAAGAGGAGAGCGGAUGAGCACAAAGUUCAAAUCAAUUUUUCGUUUCAUAACGAUCAACAGAAGAGUUGCAGAGCUUUCCUGCAAAUGUUUUUAAGCCCCGACUGUCUUCACAGCUGUAGAAGUGACACAAAAAUCCGUAUUUAAUGCCUCCACAGGAAAGGGCUUUGUUGCUAAGUCAUCCUUGGUUUGGUGGUACUUUAAACUGGCCACAAUUAUCGUUUUAGGAGAACUCAUUUCUGUUUUUAAUCAUCCUGCAACUAGUGUGAAUAAAAAUACAGUUAAAUGAAUGGCCUAGUUGAUAUAAAUCAGUGAAUUACUAAAAAACACAAUGUUCUAAAUGCAUAACAGCCUCUGCAGUGCAUUCAAGUCCAUGUGAUCGGAUCAACCCAAAACAGGAGCAAAGUCUGCUCCGUUCUCUGUCUGUUGGCUGUUGAUUUGUUUGCUGUGGUUGCAUCAGAAGCUAAAUGACUAUAUGGAGAACCCAAGUGAAAUGCAUAAGAGCUCCAGGAAGAAAGCCAGGAUAAAGAGAUCAGAAGAUGAAGUGUGUUGCUGUGCUGGUGUGUCUGAGCUGCCUCCUCCCUCUGGGACGCUCUGCUUCUGAGAGCAACAGGUGUGACAGUCUGCUGAAACCAAUCGCCGUCAGCAAUGAAGAGAUGCUGGGUAAAUGGGUGUACAUUGGGGGGAGCUCCAACAUCCCAGGAAGCCGCUCCCUGGCCCACAUGAUGUCCAGCGUCUGGGUGAACCUGACUGCAACCUCCCAAAGCAACGUCCUCAACCUCGUCCAGACGCAGAAGAUGGUUGGCCAGUGUUCCAGCAUAUCGUAUGAUGUAAUUUUUGAAAACAGCACAAUGGUUAUUGAGAAGCCGUUCUAUCUUAAGGAAAUCUAUCUGCCAACUGAGUGCCCAGACUGUCUGGUUGCUGCUGAGGACAUUGUUUCUGGGCCCGAUGAAUUUACCAGCCUUCUAAUGUUUAGUAGGAGCAGAAAUGUCUCGCCUGCUGCUCUGGAGAUGUUAAGGGAACAAGCAGAAUGUCUUGAGAUGGUUCCUCCCAUCAUUUUAGAUCCAAACAACGAAAUGUGUCCCGACAACAUCCCUCGCUCUGACGGCCUGAGUGCCCUGAACUCCUUGUUGGAGGCCAAGACUGGACAACGUGUGGCCAGAUUCCUGGAUGCUGUUUUUGAUUUUUUUGUGAACUGAGGAUGCAUUACAUUUGACUUUCCCUCUGUGUCUGACACAGGAAAAGAUCAAGUAAAUGAACCUGGAAGACGGCCCAGCAAUUAUUUUUACAAAAAAUCAGGGAAUCCCAUGUCCCUCAUAUUCAUGUGACAGAGAGCCAAACACCAGCAGAUAUUUUCUACCCGGAUUUUAGCUAAAAUGAGAAAUUUGUCUGUUCAAAUUUAUUUUGUAAAAAUUCUCAGGAACUUGUUCUAAAUCUUGACAUGUAUGAAAACCAUACAUUUUAGUUUAAGUGUUGGAAAUUUUUUUAAGUUCAAUAAAUAUUUACAAAAUAAUAUUUUCUGUCUCUUCUAUUUACUAAUUCUUUUUCAGCAUUGUCUUUUUUUUUUUUUAAUGUGAGACACCAUAUCACAAAUAUGUUGAAUUUGCGGAUCUUUAGGAUGCACUUCUGUAAGUAGUAUUGUAAGUGGCCACAAGAGGGAGACAGAGCGCCGUUCUGAUCAUUAACAGGCAAAAGUAAAAAGAAUCAACAUUUUACCCAACUUUGCAACUUUAGGAAACAUUUCAACGUUAAUAUUCGUGCUAUUUUAUCAAAAUACAAAUUGCUUAAUAGCAGUUAUUUUUAUUCUCUGUUAUUUUUAAUAAAUGCAGGAAAAAGGCACUGAAGGGUUUGAAGUAUUGGUAUCAAUUUUCAGCUUUGUCAACCCUUGUGCUAUCCUAGGCACUUUAACAUUGGGAGUUGGGUCAUCUAGACCCACAAACAGUGUGCUGAACCUUUUUUCUUCAAUGAUUUGUGAUCUUCACUGGUGUCCAUGGAUUACAUGAAAUCUUUCCACCUUUAUCCACCUUUGUCAUGGGAGGGAGAACACGUCAAUGUAAGGGAGGGGUCAUCUAGGAUAGCACAAGGAUUAAAUACACAGCAGCUUUUAGUUUUAUAGUUGGAUUUGAUAAAUAUGACUAACCAAAAGAAAAAAAAAGCACGUCAGCCAAUAAACAGCGGUUAUUUUUUUGGUUUGUGAAGAGGUUUAUACUUCACAAAGCUUUCUUUCAUUGUCUGAAUGUUUUUUGUUCAUAAUUUUACAUAUUUUCCUUGACUGUUCAAAUCAAGAUUUUUAACCACCUCAAAGAGUUAGACUUACAUUUCAAUAUUGUCACUUUGAUUCUAUUUUUUAGUAAAAAUACAAAUAUUUCUUGAUUGAUAACGGGGACACUAUGAAAAAAACUUCAAUUUUGUUUGUUUUUUCCCCCCUGGCGCUGCUGACCUUUCCCCCCCUCUGAGUCUGCAACAAGAAUAUUUCAACACCACAGUAAACAGUGUUUGCUGAGUCUCCAUGCUUUAAAAGGCCUCAAAAGGCUCGACCACACAAACUCAGCCAUCAUGGAGCUGAUUGGUGUUGCUUUGGCUGUGAUCUGUCUGCUGUCUGCAGGACAGUCGGCUCCUGUGAGCAACUGUGAAGAACUGGUGCAGCAUCUCCACCUCCCAGCAAGGGAGGAGGUAAAAACAUCUGUAUAGCUGAUGGACUUUCAGGGAUUUUUGGUUUCUAUGUUCACAGUCAGUGAUGUCUGUUUUAGAUAUUCGGAAAAUGGGUGUUUAUAGGAGAGAGCACGGACGUACCCUCAUCGGCUUUAAUGACGAAGUUAUUUGUGGACUCCGUCUGGUUAAACCUCACUGCAGCUGACCAGGAAGACAGCAUCACGUUUACUCAGAUCCAAAAAUCGUAAUUUUCAUACUCGUUUGUAUUUUGUUUUUAAAGGUAAUCCCACAUUUUUUUGUUUUCUUGUCAAUCUCAGCUUCUUUACUUUUUGCAGAUUUGGUAUUUGCACGCGUGUGUCAUCAAGUUAUACACUGAGAAACAACGCUUUUCACACGGGUGAGUAGCUCUGAACGGAGAUUAAAACAUCAAAUACAUAUUUAAAAUAGUCAUUUUAAUUGUAUUUUGGUGCACAUCUCAAUCCUCAGUGUAUCCAAUCAAAAGCAGGACUGUUCUGUUGAGGACCAGCUGCCCUGACUGUCUUGUUUUUAACUCAAACUUCAGCCUUGGAGGAAGCUUGUACUCCAACCUCCAGUUUCUCAGUAAGAACUAAGUUGUCUACUCUUUCCCUCCUCACAGUCAUUCUUCCUUUAUUUCCUAGAUCUUUCUGUCUGGGAACUGAAGAAAUGCUUUGUGGAAAGGUGGAGGCUGUUGUUCUCUGUACCAUCUGAGGAACGUCUGACCUGGAGAUGAUUAUUCAUGCUGUAAUUUCUUCUCAUUCAGAUUUUUGUAAUUAAACAAAAACGUUAAAAUGUCUGCAACUUGUUCAAAACUCUGCGGCAAGGCUUUUAAAAAUAACAAAUUGCUUGAUGUGAAAAAUUUUUCUUCCAUAGGUUUUAGAGCCUUACAUGGACAAACUCCAGUUUUGUACUGACCUUUUAACCCCUACUCUACGGCCCGGUCGAGGCCACUGAGCUGGUAUAGGUUUGAGUUUGAAAGUGCCAGACAAGACAAUACAGCUGUGAAAAAAAUAAUGCUAAAUGGCAAUGCAACAUGUUAAACCUACCAGUUCAUGUAAAUGAAUGCCAGACCAAAAAAUCAAUAAACAAAUGUAGGCAGGAGUUCAGUAAAAACUGCACAUUUAUCAACUUGGUGUGAUUCUAAAUAGAAAUGGUAAAUUCUGUGUAUUUUCUUUUAACUACCACACUAAGGAGAACUUAAACAGCUCUUCUCAUUUAUUUAAAACCUCACAAUCAGGUUUGGGGAGACGUUGAGCUUGUUUUUGACACCAUUUCUGUCUGCCAGGCAGGAGAGGGGAGGUCUCUGCUGCUGAGAAGGAAGAAUUUAAAAGGCAGACAGAGUGUCUGAACUUACCUCAAGUCAUCUUUCUGGAUUCAAAGAAAG